GAAGUACUCCCUCCGUUCAGAAUUACUUGUCUCAGAAAUGGAUGUAUCUAGAACUAAAAUAUGUCUAGAUACAUCCACUUCUGUGACAAGUAAUUCCGAAUGGAGGGAGUAAUAA
rnacentral:pre_miRNA from 1 species